rnacentral:rRNA from 1 species
GCAUAUCAAUAAGCGGAGGAAAAGAAACUAACUAGGAUUCCCUUAGUAACGGCGAGUGAACCGGGAUGAGCUCAAAUUUAAAAUCUGGCGUCUUUCAGGCGUCCGAGUUGUAAUCUAUAGAGGCGUUUUCCGCGCCGGACCGCGUCCAAGUCUCUUGGAAUAGAGUAUCAAAGAGGGUGACAAUCCCGUACUUGACGCGACAACCGGUGCUCUGUGAUACGUUCUCAAUGAGUCGAGUUGUUUGGGAAUGCAGCUCUAAAUGGGUGGUAAAUUCCAUCUAAGGCUAAAUAUUGGCGAGAGACCGAUAGCGAACAAGUACCGUGAGGGAAAGAUGAAAAGCACUUUGGAAAGAGAGUUAAACAGCACGUGAAAUUGUUAAAAGGGAAACGAUUGAAGUCAGUCGUGUGAAAGGUAUUCAGCCGUCUCUGGCGGUGUAUUUGCCUUUCACGGGUCAACAUCAGUUUGAUCCGGUAGAAAAAGGCGGGAGGAAGGUGGCACCCUCGGGUGUGUUAUAGCCUCCUGUCAUAUGUGCCGGACCAGACUGAGGAACGCAGCUUGCCGCAAGGCCGGGGUUCGCCCACGUACAAGCUUAGGAUGUUGACAUAAUGGCUUUAAACGACCCGUCUUGA